rnacentral:rRNA from 1 species
CGCUGGCGGCAUGCUUUACACAUGCAAGUCGAACGGCAGCGCGGACUUCGGUCUGGCGGCGAGUGGCGAACGGGUGAGUAAUAUAUCGGAACGUACCCAAGAGUGGGGGAUAACGUAGCGAAAGUUACGCUAAUACCGCAUACGAUCUAUGGAUGAAAGCAGGGGACCGCAAGGCCUUGUGCUCCUGGAGCGGCCGAUAUCUGAUUAGCUAGUUGGUGAGGUAAAGGCUCACCAAGGCAACGAUCAGUAGCUGGUCUGAGAGGACGACCAGCCACACUGGAACUGAGACACGGUCCAGACUCCUACGGGAGGCAGCAGUGGGGAAUUUUGGACAAUGGGGGCAACCCUGAUCCAGCAAUGCCGCGUGAGUGAAGAAGGCCUUCGGGUUGUAAAGCUCUUUUGUCAGGGAAGAAACGGGUCCAGCUAAUAUCUGGGCCUAAUGACGGUACCUGAAGAAUAAGCACCGGCU